rfam:Oryza barthii chromosome 1, whole genome shotgun sequence.
AAAGAGUGUAGUUUUGCACUGUUCAUAUUCAAUAUAUGACUGUCCUUCUUAUUUGAAAAUUUUGGUAUAAUUAGUAUUUAUUAUUAUUGUUAGAUGAUAAAACAUAAAUAAUAUUUUAUGUGUGAUUGAUUUUUUCAUAAUUUUUUAAAUAAGACGAACUGUCAAACGUUGAAUACAGAAAUCCAAAUCUAUAGCCACA